UCCUACGGGAGGCAGCAGUGAGGAAUAUUGGUCAAUGGGCGAGAGCCUGAACCAGCCAAGUAGCGUGCAGGAUGACGGCCCUAUGGGUUGUAAACUGCUUUUAUGCGGGGAUAAAGUGAGGGAUGCGUCCCUUUUUGCAGGUACCGCAUGAAUAAGGACCGGCUAAUUCCGUGCCAGCAGCCGCGGUAAUACGGAAGGUCC
rnacentral:rRNA from 1 species